rnacentral:rRNA from 1 species
AGAAAUAACAAUACGGGGCUUAAUGUCUUGUAAUUGGAAUGAUGGGAAUUUAAACCUCUUCCAGAGUAUCAAUUGGAGGGCAAGUCUGGUGCCAGCAGCCGCGGUAAUUCCAGCUCCAAUAGCGUAUAUUAAAAUUGUUGCAGUUAAAAAGCUCGUAGUUGAAUUUCCGCUGCAUUGCUUUUGCUCCUUUACGAGUCUUUGCAUUGUGGCUUAUUUCGGACUUUGUUUUACAAUGUCCGGAUGUUUACUUUGAGAAAAUUAGAGUGCUCAAAGCAGGCUUUCGCCUUGAAUAGUUUAGCAUGGAAUAAUAAAGUAGGACUUUGGUUCUAUUUUGUUGGUUUUAGGUACCAAAGUAAUGGUUAAUAGGAACAGUUGGGGGCAUUCGUAUUUA